rnacentral:rRNA from 1 species
UACGGAGGAGGCAAGCGUUAUCCGGAAUUAUUGGGCGUAAAGAGCUCGUAGGCGGUUUGUCGCGUCGACUGUGAAAACCCGAGGCUUAACCUCGGGCCUGCAGUCGAUACGGGCAGACUAGAGUUCGGUAGGGGAGACGUGGAAUUCCUGGUGUAGCGGUGAAAUGACGCAGAUAUCAGGAGGAACACCGGUGGCGAAGGCGGGUCUCUGGUACGUGACUGACGCUGAGACGCGAAAGCGUGGGGAGCGAACAGG